UAAAGUGAUUAUUGUUGAGUUAAAGUGAUUUUGUUGAGUUAAAGUGAUUAUUCUUUAGUUAAAGUCAUUUUUUGAGUUAAAGUGAUUACCAUUUUGUGAACUGAGAUGAACAUUGAAAGAUGAAGCAACUGGUGAGAGAUGUGAGUAUAGUAAUAGAUUUGAAAGGAUUGUGGAUUUGGUGUUUGUGUAUGGUGUGAAGUUGGCGGAGGAGCUCGUCGGGAAUCGGUGGGAAUGGUUUAGGGGAUUUGGGUGAUUGGAGUGUAGUAGAGAGGUGGUACAGAGAGAGAGAGAGAAUGUUGGUGGCUACCAUUGCUAUUAGGAGUAGAAGGUUUAGAGUCAUGGUGAUAAACAUGAAUUUAUUUUGGUCUUCAACUCCAUUGUUUUUCAUGUAAACGGAGCAAUUUCACAUUCCAUGAUCUUUUCCCAAUCUGCAGCAUCACAUUCUUAUCCUUGUUCUCAAUAACCCCUUUUAAACUUGGUACAUACCACAUAGUAUAAUAGUAUUAUCAAUCAUUAUAAUUUAUAAUCAUAUCAUAACAUAUACUAAUAAAUGUUGUGUGAUUGAACUUACGUACCAGCCGAUUUUGUGCCUAUGAUUAAUAGGCUUUAUGAGAAUUGUGAAAAAAGGAUUGCUUGAGUUGAAAUUUUUAGCUACUUCCUGAGAUUUAGCUCCCUUUAGCCAAUUCAUUGAUGAAGCUGUUCUUUGACUUAUAGUCUUCUUAAUCUCACCUGCAUAUAUGUGUGGAAUGUAAAACAAAGAGAGGAAACUAGCAUUUCACUGAGUCAACUUUACUAUUAUUUUCUCUUCUUUAUAUUUCUUUUCUUCUCAUAAUUUAAUUUCUACAGUUUCAUUUUCCAAUCGUAGGAAUUGCAAAAUUGUCUAGUCCUUUGGAAAAUUUGGUAUUGUCAUUGUCUUCUUAUCUUAAGAUAUUUAUUCCACUUUGUUUCUUGACAAAAGAAUCUGAUAUUUUUUUGCAAGAGCAAUAAAUUCAGCUAUCUUUAUCUGUUUGCUUUUAUAUUUUUCCCUAUUAAGCAUGUAUUUUUUCCUAUCAGUUUCCACUUUGUUCAAUUUAGCUAUUUGCAUCGUUCUUACUUGUUUGUUAUCAAUGCUUGCAAUGUCGCGUGUUUGGAGUCUCACAAUGGGAACACCAUAUGAGGAUGCACGAAACAAAAGGAUGGAAGAGAAUAAAAAAAGAAUGGAAGCUCUGAAUCUACCUAAACUCUCUCAAUCCCAUUACAAAUCGUCUUCCAUCACAAAACCCUCGAAAAUUAAUAAGGAAGUAGGGUUGAAACCAAAGCUGAAAGUAAAUGAGGAGGGUGAGCUACCUAAAGUAAGAUCAAGCCAGGAAUUGGCUAAGUUAUACUGAAUCAAGCGUGAGAAAAUACAGAGUAAUAUUGAACAACCUAAUGCACAUGUGGCUGGAAAAUGAUGUGGAUGACAUGAUGGGACAAGCUCUGGGCAUUGAAAAUGCAGCACUCCAUUCAUCUACAUCGACCCAUGUUCCUGAAAAGGUGGGAUUCCUCCAGAAAGUUUGUUGUUAUAUAGAUACAAAUCUGACAACAAGGUCAGAUUCCCAAUAGAAGUUGGGAUAGUCCCUGUGAGAUUUGCAUGUGAGAUACGAAGUUCUCUCAGAUUACUCAAUGCACCUAUU